UACGGGAGGCAGCAGUGGGGAAUAUUGGACAAUGGACCAAAAGUCUGAUCCAGCAAUUCUGUGUGUUUGAUGAAGGCCUUCGGGUUGUAAAGAACUUUCAGUGGGGAAGAAGCAAGUGACGGUACCCACAGAAGAAGCGACGGCUAAAUACGUGCCAGCAGCCGCGGUAAUACGUAUGUCGCAAGCGUUAUCCGGAAUUAUUGGGCAUAAAGGGCGUCUAGGCGGUCUAAUAAGUCUGAUGUGAAAAUGCGGGGCUCAACUCCGUAUUGCGUUGGAAACUGUUAGACUAGAGUUUUGGAGAGGUAGGCGGAACUACAAGUGUAGAGGUGAAAUUCGUAGAGAUUUGUAGGAAUGCCGAUGACGAAGGUAGCUUACUGGACAAAUACUGACGCUGAAGCGCGAAAGCUAGGGGAGCAAACAGGAUUAGAUACCCUGGUAG
rnacentral:rRNA from 1 species